CAAGGUUGACCUCGGAUCAGGUAGGACUACCCGCUGAACUUAAGCAUAUCAAUAAGCGGAGGAAAAGAAACCAACAGGGAUUGCCCCAGUAACGGCGAGUGAAGCGGCAACAGCUCAAAUUUGAAAUCUGGCCUUCGGGUCCGAGUUGUAAUUUGGAGAGGAUGCUUCUGGCGCGGCGCCGUCCGAGUUCCUUGGAACAGGACGCCAUAGAGGGUGAGAGCCCCGUACGGGCGGACGCCUAGCCUUUGUGAAGCUCCUUCGACGAGUCGAGUAGUUUGGGAAUGCUGCUCAAAAUGGGAGGUAAAUUUCUUCUAAAGCUAAAUACCGGCCAGAGACCGAUAGCGCACAAGUAGAGUGAUCGAAAGAUGAAAAGCACUUUGAAAAGAGGGUUAAAAAGUACGUGAAAUUGUUGAAAGGGAAGCGCCUGUGACCAGACUUGCUGCCCGCGGAUCAUCCGGCGUUCCUCGCCGGUGCACUCCGCGGGCGGCAGGCCAGCAUCGGUUUUCCUGGGGGGUCAAAGGUCGCGGGAACGUGGCUCCUUCGGGAGUGUUAUAGCCCGCGGCGUCAUGCCUCUGGGGGGACCGAGGACCGCGCUU
rnacentral:rRNA from 1 species